rnacentral:rRNA from 1 species
AAAUUGCCAUGGAUACUGGGUUUCUUGAGUACAGAAGAGGUCGGUGGAAUUCGUAGUGUAGCGGUGAAAUGCAUAGAUAUUACGAAGAACAUCAGUGGCGAAGGCGGCCGGCUGGACUGUAACUGACACUGAGGCACGAAAGCGUGGGGAGCGAACAGGAUUAGAUACCCUGGUAGUCCACGCUGUAAACGAUGCAUACUAGUUGUUGGCCCUUCGGGGCCAGUGAUGCAGUUAACGCAGUAAGUAUGCCACCUGGGGAGUACGUCGGCAACGAUGAAACUCAAAGGAAUUGACGGGGGCCCGCACAAGCGGUGGAGCAUGUGGCUUAAUUCGAUGCAACGCGAGGAACCUUACCUGGGCUAAAUCUACAGUGUUACCUCCCGAAAAGG